GUCAGGAUGGCCGAGUGGUCUAAGGCGCCAGACUCAAGGUGAAUCAACCUUCCCGUGGUUCAUGGGAUAAGAGUGUUCUGGUCCACGAAUGUGGGCGUGGGUUCAAAUCCCACUUCUGACA
rfam:Biomphalaria glabrata isolate BB02 unplaced genomic scaffold LGTN_random_Scaffold3614, whole genome shotgun sequence.